CUGCCAUUUUAGGUUAAAGGCUGCAACCAACUUCAGCCUUCUCAGUGGUUCAUUCUUUUUCUCCUCUAGUCCUUGAAUGGCUUUGGGAGUACACUCCUGUACUAGCACAAAGGAAACAAUGCUUCCAUCUGGGAUUGGUCAGAGAUGGCCCGAGCACUCUGAAUCAUCACUGAUUGCACAUGGCAGCCCCUGACCCUCGCUAAAGGCACGUCGCUGCCACGGAAGAUUGACGAUUAUCGAUGCAGAAACCCAUUGCUAAUUCAGCGUACAAGGUGGCCAGCACUAAGCAUGAAGAAAAUAUUGGAAAUGCUUUUCAAAUGGAAGGCAGUGGGACUCUUGUCUUCGCAGAUGGCAGGAAGAUUUUUAAGAAGAUGCAUCGACUCCAAUUCUUACAUCUGACAAAUAUUUAAAUGAUUUU